UGUACACAUACCAAGUUUUUUUAGUGAAAAAAAUGUAAGUAUUCCACAACUUAUUUCUGUUAAAGAGCCGCUUCACAACCAGCACUAAACACUGACAGCAGGAUGUCCCUUCUAUAGAACCCCCUUUGCUGGAGACACACGGUACUAACAAUCUGGGGGAGUUCAGUUACAGCGCCGAAUCCUGAUCCUGGACCCGGAGGGAAGCCCUCAACAGUCUCCUCUCAUUACAGCCAGGUGUCUAGACUUCUGGAGAAGUUCAGUGCUAUGCCCAAACUAGCAACAGACACAGUCCACAGUGGAGCUUCAUCCCAUGACUUCUUUACCUACAACCUACCCUGUAGAUAAUGUUUCCAGGGACACGUGACACAUCCAUGAAUCACUGUGCACAGCGUGGGACUAGAAAGGGUGUCCUGGAGACUACAUGAAGGUAAUAAUGAUCAUGACUUCAGCAGGCAGACAAGACGGUGGCAGCAGUGUUGCAAAACCGGGUGGCUACAGACGGCAUGACACUGAAGUCUGAGAGAAGACAAGCUGUCGGAAACAAGGCAGGGGAGCAAGGUAAAUGGUGCUGCCUGUAGUCCCUGAUGUUCAGGGACUAGGAAACAGGCUCUCAAAGCAAGGGAAGAAGAGGAAGAGGAAAAAUUACAGACCUGAAGGACAAUUUGUCUUACCAAGGUAAGGAUAUAUCAGAUGAGAACUAUGGAUGGGACAAACUGGUUUCCAAACUAGCUACAAGCAGCUGUUGUGAACCACAGAGAAUACUCAGAGCUCCUCAGGACCAUUUCCCAGGGUAAACUCUGUAGUCUCCCUCAACAUAAAUUUCUAGCGGACAUUACUGGGACCCAUUCACAAGAUGAUAUAGAUCUCAAACCUUAUAAAUAUGCUAAUUUUCUCUUCCCAAA